CGGAUUGCAGGCUGAGAUUCGCCUGCAUGAAGCCGGAAUUGCUAGUAAUGGCAGGUCAGCAUACUGCCGUGAAUACGUUCCCGGGCCUUGUACACACCGCCCGUCACACCAUGAGAGUUGGGGAUACCCGAAGCCUGUGAGCCAACUUUUAGAGGCAGCAGUCGAAGGUAGAAUCAAUGAUUGGGGUGAAGUCGUAACAAGGUAGC
rnacentral:rRNA from 1 species